UAUUUGUAUAAAGUAUCCAGAGUCUGUAUUUCAGCUGGGAGUCUUGUAGCUUGUGUGUGGGGUCGCUCUCCUUCAACCUCUCACUGCUGGUAUCGAAAGUGAAAGAAGAGCAGCAGCCCGGCGGGUACACAGACGCACGGCUGAAUCCAUCCAUCCGCAAACAAGUUCACUAAUCUAAAAAAUGCCAGCACUCUCAUUUGAAAGACAUCAGUAUGAAUCAUGACACUGUUCAAAUGUUCAGAGAGAAACUAGACAGCCUCAACAUCUCAGAUUAUUAUGGCCUGGACAGUCCAGGUCUGACAUGCUAUUUGAACAGCGUGCUUCAGGUGCUUUUCAUGACCCAAGACUUCCGGGAGGCUGUGAAACGAUGCUGCAGUGAAGACUCAACAAGCAUUGACACUGUGCUCGAAAAACUGUUUGCUGAUUUACAGCAAAAUAUGGCUAAAACAAAUCACGUGAUAAAGAAACUGGGGAUCUCGAACAUAUAUGAACAACGUGAUGCUGCUGAGUAUUUUGAGAAGAUCCUGUGUCUGACCAGUCCAGAGGCAGCCAAGAUAUUUAAGGGGGAACUCAAUCACAAGAUCAGAUGCCUCGGGUGCAAUGAGAAAAACGAUUCCAAGAGCUUUUUUUGGAUUCUGCCACUGGCGGUGGAGGAUUUGCCUCGUCAAACUUACAGUGUGGAGAAAGGGUUGAAGGCAUUCUUCAAGGGAGAAAAAGUCUGCGGGGAAGACAAGAUGUUCUGCAACCACUGCAAUGAAAAGCAAGAUGCUGACUUUGGAUGUGAGAUAACGCACAGUCCAGAGACUUUGACCCUUCUGUUGAAGAGAUUCAGCUACGACUACAAGCGCAGGUGUUACGCCAAGCUUCACUGCAACGUGGAUGUCCCCCAAACUUUACAUGUGAAGAAUUGCAAAUACAAGCUCUACGCUGUAGUUAACCACUUUGGUAAUCUAUCAGGAGGUCAUUAUACUGCACAUAUAAAAUCUUUUGAAACUGAUGUGUGGUAUGACUUCAAUGACGACAUUGUUAACAGGGUUAAACAAUCAGUGUUUGGAGCUGGAGACAAGUCUUUGAAGUCUCAUACAGCGUACCUCCUCAUGUACAGGAAGGUGAGCAGACAUCCUGAAACAACUUAUGAAAGCAACCAGGAGGCUCCCUGUGCACAGUCAGACGUCAAGGCCGAAGGAAGACAUGGCAAGGCCGAAAGAGGAGAGCCUGCUGUUCCUCAUCAACUGAAGGAUGAAAGCUGCAUCAUAGGGAAAAACCUAAUGCCCUUGAAUGGUGACGUGAUCUACGAUUGGAGGGAACAGACAAACCUGUCUGGGGAACUGGACACACAGUCAAACCAGGAAGCGGCAUGUGGAAGGCAGCGCAAGGAGAUGCUCAAAACAGACACUGGAGCAGAUCGAGAUAAUAUGCAAAGACAAACAUCAAAAUGUGCAAAGCUACAAAAAGAUGGAGGACUGAAACAUCAUGAGCCAAUCAGACAGCAGCGCAGUACAAACUCAGAGGAGCACAUGAGGCAUCUUCAUACCAAAAGGACCCCUACAGCAGCUUUUAAAACACACCUGUUAGACUACAUGUUCGAGCAAAAUCACACAUCCCCAAAUGACAGACUGAAAUCAAAUGAGACUGUCAGUGUUGUUGCAAAGACUGGAACCAGCGAAACCUUCAAACCUGCAGAAACUGAAACUGUGAAACACACAAGAGAGGCUGGUGUCGGUGCAAAUGUGUGUGAUUCUAAUGUAAAGUCACUGUAUGUUUCCUCCAAUGGCCGCUCCUCUUCUUCAGCUCAGUACUCAACAGGACACUUUCAAGGUCAGUGUAGAAAGAAUGAACCAACAUGGUGUAGCUGUUCACCAAACCUGUGCCGAAAGUCAAACGGUUCAAAGAGAGAUAAGGAGAAAAUGCAGCAUGCUGUGACUGUGGAGAGCUGCUACAAACCUGAGACCAAACAAACUGUGAAAAAGGGAGAGAUACCUGCAAGUCCAAGAGAGAGUCUCAGAAAGAGGAGAACAGCUGUAGAGAGUAGGGACAAAGCCAAACAAGAGCCAUGGCGGUGAUGGAAUAAUCAGGAUAAAGUGAUAUGUGGUUUGAUUAUUGAGUAUUUACAUCUGUAGCUGGACUCAUGCAAAGCUGAUUCUUUUGACACUGUUGAUCGUGUGCUGCUAUCAACUGUGACAGAAACAGACUGUGAUCAAUGAUGUUUUGUGUUGAUUAAAUGUCUUGCGUGGCAUUACAGAUGAAUAAGUGUUACCUUUGUACUGUUCAGUUCAGUCAAGUGAAAGGCUGGUGUGUAUCUCUUUAAUUUUGAGGAUGAAAGUGAAGUGUUUUUUUUUUUUUGUUUUUGAAUGGUUUCCUUUAAGCGUGCACAUCCGCACACUGCUUUGUAACUGCAUCAAGCAAAUGAACAGGGCGGAAGACAGUGAAACACCACUUCAAAGAUGGUUGUGAAAGUGGUCGUGAACAGGCCAGGGGUGGAUGAGAUAACCAUCAACCUGUGCGACACUGAGGAGCAGUUACAGAGCAUGAUGGUGCUGCAGCUGAAGAAGAAGAUAAUAGAGGGACAGAAUGACUCUGGAGGACCAGGCCUCGGUGAGGACCUGCAGCUGAUCUUCAAAGACAAGGAUCUGGACGGAGACUCCACCCUGCUGUCCGAAUAUGGAAUCCAACACGUCAGUCACUCAAACAGGCCAAAGGGUCAAAGUUGUUCUCAAGACGUUUGAACAGGCUGAUGCAGUUUGGCAUAGGAAGGAUGAAUUGGUUCUGUGCGGUCAGGCUGGAGGGACUUGUGGGUUGGCUGAAGUGGCUGACAUGAGAACUGUACGUGGGGCUGACACAGAUUCUACUAUUUGUGAGGGUGAUAUGGGUGAUAAGAAGGAUAAGCACCAAAGUAUAGAAAGGCUGUCUAUUUGUAAACCAACUCGGCAUGUAUUCUCGACUCUCCGUGUUUUGUUCCUUAUCUUACAGAAAAGAGCUCAGACACAAUGCAGUCCAACUUCGCCAAACUGUAUUGACCUUUGUUACCCAGACAAUCCAAUACCAUGAUCUGACAUUAAUGUGAACAGCUGACUACAUGACAUCUCUCUUCCUUUGAGAAAAAAACACAGUAAAAAGUAAUUUUCCAUCAACAGCAGACCAACAGUGAUAAACUGUUUACUUUAAGAACAAGACCCUUCACUCACUCCUUUUUAUUUCAUUUAUUUAACCUUUAUCUAACCAGAAAAACUGAAAGUGUUUGUUAUGAGUUCAUGGAAUAUUAUCAGACUCAGAAAGACAUAAAGAAAAGCUAAAAAUGUGUCAUCAUGUAUGCAUGUUGAAUGAUCUGAUGUUUCAAAAAUAUUUGAAAAUAUCUUACUAUAUUAUGACGAAAACUCUGUCUGUGUGUCUGUUCCACGUUUUUCUCCUCACUGACUUGGUCAAUCCAUGUGAAAUUUGGCACAGUGGUAGAGGGUCAUGGGAGGAUGCGAAUGAAGCAAUAUUACAUCAAUUGGCCAAAGGGGGCGCUAUAGCAACCGAUUGAAACUUUGAAUGGGCAUAUCUCAUGCCCCGUAUGUCGUAGAGACAUGAAACUUUGCACAGAGAUGCCUCUCCUCAUGAGGAACACAUUUGCCUCCAGAACCCAUAACUUCCGCUUAUACAGAUUUUCCACAAUUUUGAAUUUUUUGAAAAACACUUAAAAUCGAUCUCUUCCUAGGAAGUUUGAGCGAUCUGCAUGAAACUGGGUGAACAUAAUCUAGGGACCAAUAUCUAAAGUUCCCUCUUGGCAAAAGUUGGAAAACU